rnacentral:rRNA from 1 species
UACGUAGGGACCAAGCGUUGUUCGGAUUUACUGGGCGUAAAGGGCGCGUAGGCGGCCCGCUAAGUCGAACGUGAAAUCCCCAGGCUCAACCUGGGAACUGCGUCCGAUACUGGCAGGCUUGAAUCCGGGAGAGGGAUGCGGAAUUCCAGGUGUAGCGGUGAAAUGCGUAGAUAUCUGGAGGAACACCGGUGGCGAAGGCGGCAUCCUGGACCGGUAUUGACGCUGAGGCGCGAAAGCCAGGGGAGCAAACGGG